AUGGACCACAGGUUCUGCUGGGUGAUCGUUUGUCUCCUGGGAGAAGGACACGUAGAAUCUGGUGUCAGCCAAAGCCCUUGCCACUGUAUCACAGGGAUGGGACGGAAGGUGACUCUGGGAUGUGGUCCUGUGCCCCGUCGUUUGUACCUCUUCUGGUACCGACAGACCCCAGGAAAGGGCAUGGGGUUUCUGAUGUCCAUCUAUAACACAGUGUCUUCAGAGAAGGCAGACGUUUUGAAGGAUCACUUCUCAGCUGAGAUGCCUGAUGGCGUGUGCCUCACUCUGAAGACCCAGCCUGCACAGCUGGGGGACUCGGCCAUGAGCCUCUGUGCCAGCAGCUCGGCCACGGCCUUGCAGAGACGCUUCCUGCCCUCCCACCCACCCUACAGCUUCGCUGCUCUCCCCAGGCUCUCAGCCUCCCUGCCCUGCCCAAGGCGGGUGGGGGAUGUGCGGUGGCACUGCAGCUGCUCUCCAGCAGCAGAGGUCAAAAUUAACUUUAAUUCGCAGAAAAGGAAAUAUUGCACAGGAUAUCUGGGGCUGUGGUAUUUGGGAAAGGUUCCCAGGCACCGCAGAACGUGGCCGGGGACCCCAACGAUGGGACAGGUGUAG